ACGGAAGGCAGCAGUGAGGAAUAUUGGUCAAUGGAGGCGACUCUGAACCAGCCAUCUCGCGUGAAGGAAUACGGCCCUACGGGUCUUAAACUUCUUUUAUAGGGGGAUAAAGUGAGAUACGCGUAUCUUUUUGUAGGUACCCUAUGAAUAAGCAUCGGCUAACUCCGUGCCAGCAGCCGCGGUAAUACGGAGGAUGCGAGCGUUAUCCGGAUUUAUUGGGUUUAAAGGGUGCGCAGGCGGCACGUUAAGUCAGCGGUGAAAUGCAGGGGCUCAACCCCGGCACUGCCGUUGAAACUGGCGAGCUCGAGUACGGAUGAGGUCGGCGGAAUGUGAUGUGUAGCGGUGAAAUGCUUAGAUAUGUCACAGAACACCGAUUGCGAAGGCAGCUGACUAAGCCGCAAAUGACGCUCAGGCACGAAAGCGUGGGGAUCGAACAGGAUUAGAUACCCUGGUA
rnacentral:rRNA from 1 species